rnacentral:rRNA from 1 species
GACGAACGCUGGCGGCGUGCUUAACACAUGCAAGUCGAACGAGGUCCACUGCGUAGCAAUACAAGGGAAGACCUAGUGGCGAACGGGUGCGUAACACGUGAGGAACUUGUCCCGGUCUCUGGGAUAACAGUUGGAAACGACUGCUAAUACCGGAUGACGUCGGAAUCUCGCAUGGGAUACUGACGAAAGGGUUACUGGAUCGGGAGAGCCUCGCGGCCUAUCAGCUUGUUGGUGAGGUAACGGCUCACCAAGGCAUCGACGGGUAGCUGGUCUGAGAGGAUGAUCAGCCACACUGGGACUGAGACACGGCCCAGACUCCUACGGGAGGCAGCAGUGGGGAAUCUUGCGCAAUGGGCGAAAGCCUGACGCAGCAACGCCGCGUGCGGGAAGAAGGCCCUCGGGGUUGUAAACCGCUUUCAGUAGGAACGAAAAUGACGGUACCUGCAGAAGAAGGUGCGGCCAACUACGUGCCAGCAGCCGCGGUAAU